rnacentral:misc_RNA from 1 species
UCCGAGUUGUCCCCGGCAGUCCCCUUAGAGUCCCCGGCAUUACCCGCUGGCAACUAAGGGCAGGGGUUGCGCUCGUUGCGGCACUUAAGCCAACACCUCACGGCACGAGCUGACGACAGCCAUGCAGCACCUGUGCUGGCCCCUUACGGACACGGGCUUUCACCCGCUUUAACCAGCAUGUCAAACCCAGGUAAGGUUCUUCGCGUUGCAUCGAAUUAAGCCACAUACUCCACCGCUUGUGCGGGUCCCCGUCAAUUUCUUUGAGUUUUAAUCUUGCGACCGUACUUCCCAGGCGGCACGUUUAACGCGUUAGCUCCGGCGCGGAGGGGGUCGAAUCCCCCCACACCCAGUGCCCACCGUUUACGGCGCGGACUAC